UAAAGUAUUUUCCAUCAAGGGUCUUAUGACCCUUGAUGGAAAAUGUUAAACCUCACCGCCGUGACGUCCCUCGCCAGGCGGGGCGCGGUGGGAGGCGGUGCGGGCAGUGCUCGGCCAGCCUGAGACUGUCCAGUGUUCCCUGCUGCAGCUCAUGCAUGGCUUUAUCUCAGCACAGAGCAUCCAUGAGGUACCGGUGUGUGUGUGUGUGUGUGUGUGUGUGUGUGUGUGUGUGCGAAUAAUAAUAUUAGACAUAUUAUAAGAUAAGACUGGAGAUUAAGCUUGCAAGCCUAGGCGAGUCACGCUGUACCACUUGCAUCACGUUGGCGUCAGAUGGUGGGUCAGUUUGGGAUUCCUGUUGGAGUGUUUGAGGCUCAGGUGGCCAGUGAAGCUGCUAACGACACGUGGACCACGCAGCUGUCCCAGGCGGUGCGUCAGGCGAGGAAGGUGAGCAAGGCUGUGGUGCACAGGCUGUCACCGAACUCUGGUCUCUAUGAGAGUGUGUGCCUCGAUGCUGGAGAACUGAAAGCUUUGAGUUGACUCUCGCCAUAGUUGAGUGAAUACUUCAUCAGAUUCGCCGUGGGUCUUGGUGCGUGACGGUGGUGGUGGUGAGUGAUGACCCAGACUUCCUCGCCGCCUUCGCCGAGUCCUCGCUGCAACACCGCCUGCUGGUGUGGGCCACGAGGCUCCUUGUCCUCACCCGCCUAACGCUGCAGCAGGUGCACCGCCUCCUCUCCUCCCACUGGACCUUCUCCAUGAUGAACGCCAUGUUUCUCAACCAGCAGCAAGACUCUUCAGGAAACUGGUACUUAUUUUGCUCACUUGCAAUCUAGUAAUGAAACAUGAUUAUAAUUAAAUUAAUAUUUUUCAUAGGUUAUGGGAAAGAAAAGAAAACAAUUUUUCAUAGCAUUGCAUCAUAAUUUGCAGCACGUCCUUUCUUUUAGUUAAGUAUCUUUCCAUACUGUCUUGAUUUUCAAUGACAGGUUCAGUGCGUACUCACACCUGCCGUACAGUCCCCGCGGCCCACAGGUGGUAAGCGCCGCCACCUGGAAACACAGCGCCCUUGUCCAGAAUGCAUCACAUUUCACAACUUUCCCUGAGAAAUUUUCUGAGUAAGUGGAAUAAUUAAAUUUUCCAAUGAACUUUAAUCUGGACAUAUUAAAAAUUCCGGAGAGCUAAUUUCCCGUCUCUCCCUCCUAAAGUUUCCACGGUGCUACAAUAAAUGUGGCAGCGCUUCCUUACGCCCCAUACUGGGAUGAAACUGUGCAGGAGGCGGAGGACGGGCGACCCGUGAAGAUAUACUCGGGCACGGAUUACCAGCUGCUCUCUGUGAUGUGCCACUACCUCAACUUCAAGAUUUAUAAUAUUCCAACAAGUAGCUGGCAAGAGAUAGGUCAACUAGUCGCCGAAAGGAAGGCUUUCAUGUCGCCCGUGCAUCACGUGCCGGUGGCUCAGCGUCUGGCAAUGUACGACUUUUCCUAUGGGUAUGAGUUUGGCUCCAUAGACUUCUGUGCGGCUGUGCCUUCCCUCAGUCCUAAGUGGCACAGCCUCUAUUACCCGCUGUCGGACUACGUGUGGCUGGCUGUUCUGGCGGUGCUUGUCAUCGUGCCGUUCUCUCUUUUCUUGGUAGGCUUCGCAUGAACUAAUCUCUGAUAUUCGUUGUAUAUCACACAAGCGCGGUUUAUUCACCGUAAUCCAUGUAUUUGCUCGAAAGAUGUGUAUUUUGUGUAUUGGUAAGUAAAAGUGUUUCCAUUGUAAUCCUUAGUUGUUUCCUAUUUCCAGGCGAAUCUGUUGGCAACUUGGCUCAUAUCGGAAAACAGGAUGAGUCUCGGAGUGUCCUCUCAUACUGUCAUCGCCACCCUCCUCGCCCAGGACUUACCAGUAAAGCCUCCCAACACACACGCUAUCCGGGCCCUGGUGGCGGCGUGGCUGUUGUUCGCCUUCAUAGUUGGAACAGUGUACCGCGGGAACCUGACGGCCUCCCUCACCUUGCCCAAGUACCCGCCGCGGCCGGAGACCAUCGCAGACUUAGUGAAGACUUUCGACAGGUGAACAUUGCGUGUUGAAGGUUAAAGGAAAAUGUAUGAAAUAUGGAGAGGACAGUGGGGAAUGUAAAUAUACAUGUAAAUUUCAUUGUCAAAAUGUGGAGCGGUCUUCGUUAUCUCAGCAGUUUUUUUUUUUUUUUUUUUCAGGAUAUCAGUGCCACUUUUCGCACAAGUAUUUAUCGAUAAUUUUAGAAACUCUUCCACACCCGUGAUUAGGGAGAUGGGGGAAAAGAUGUUUCUUGCCUCCAGCGUCCUGGAAACACUGCAGCGGACACGUGAUGGCUGGUGAGAUAUCUUGUUUCGUUAAUUUCAACAGACAAGACAGAUAACGUUGGAAAAAGUUUUCUUAACUCCCCACUCUUACAGGGAAGCGCAUGUUGGCUGGAGGAGCUACGUCGCCACGAUAAUAGCAAGUCACUUUAUAUUAGCGGACGGCAGCACUGAAAUUUACCUGGGGCGUGAAAGUGUGUCGCACACUUUGACAGCCUGGCCGCUACCUCACGACGCGCCCUUUAAGCGACAAGUGGACACGAUCAUGGUGGCAGUGCUCGAGGCUGGACUAUACGAGAGAUGGAGGGAAGAAUUUUUGGACGUAAUCAAGAAAAAAACUCGAAUGAAGUCACGACAAGUUAAUCAAGAAGAGGAGAGGGAGGGUUCCGGGAACCCUGGCAGGCUUGUGAGCGCUCUCAGCU